AAGGGCACCACAAGAACGCGUGGAGCAUGUGGCUUAAUUUGACUCAACGCGGGAAAUCUUACCGGGUCCGGACACACUGAGGAUUGACAGACAAAUACACACACUUUUACGGUGUGUGCAUGAAAUAUGCUAGUUCUUUCAUGAUUAUGUGAUAGGUGGUGCAUGGCCGUUCUUAGUUCGUGGAGUGAUCUGUCUGCUUAAUUGCGUUUCACUAAAGGCACAUACACAUAAUAUUGAUGCGUUGUGUGUAUAAUUUAUAAUUAUACGCAUACACACAUAUUAUAUUGUGCUUUGAAAGCAACGAACGUGACCGCAACCUUUUGUUGCCUGUAUAUAUAUGUAUUUUAUACACACCACAGGCUAUUAUAAACUAGAGGGACCGCUGUUACUUUCUUUUAAACCAGAGGAAGGUUGCGGCAAUAACAGGUCUGUGAUGCCCUUAGAUGUUCCGGGCUGCACACGUGCUACAAUGAUCAUUGCAGUGCGCAUCUCAUUUUGUUAUACACUGCUUGUGCGUAUGUGCAUCACAUAUAUAUUUUAUAUUUGUGUGUGUAUGUAUUGCACGCAGUAAAGCCUACUUCGAAAGUUGUGGGUAAUCAAUUUGAAGUAAUGAUUUCUCCAAAUAUAUACUGCACACUCAUAUACUGUAUCUUAUGUCCACGAAUUUGUAAUUCAUUACACUUUUGUGUGUGCAUUCGACGCUCGUAUGUGCAAUUGUCAAUUCAUGGUGGGGACAGACCAUUGUUAAUUGUUGGUCUCGGUCUUAACUAGGAAUGCCUUGUACGGGUCUUUGGUUCAACAAACCACCCGGAAUACGUCCCUGCCCUUUGUACACACCGCCCGUCGCUCUUACCGAUGGACUUCUCUGUGAGUUUGAGGGACUGGAUUUUAUAUCUAUGGAAACUCAAACGAACAGUGUGGUCUAAAGGAAAGAGAAGUCGUAACAAGGCAUCCGUAGGUGAACCU
rnacentral:rRNA from 1 species